rnacentral:lncRNA from 1 species
AGGUUGACUAAGCCUAGUGAGACGAGUCUCACAUUGCCUGAUACUAAUGAAUGCGUUUAAGUUUAACGAGGACAUCAAAGCUUAAAGGGAGAGAAUGGGACACCCCAUGAUUUGGACCAGUUCUAAGGUACAAUAGUACAAAACUUCUUAAUUCGGCUAUAGCAUUUGGAUGGCAUAUAGGCCGAAGAGGUUAAGAGGGUAAAGUAUGCUAGAACUAAAGUAGUUCUAGAAUGGUUGACCCCUCUAGGAAGCAUGGCGUCACACGUACAAAAAAAAAAAUAUAUGUACAUGAUUAAUUCAAAAUAGAACUCAAAAUUGGAAAAGAAAUCUAAAUAGACUGGAAUUGGAAAUAGAAUAGUGGAAUCUCCUCCUAUGUUAGUUUUGUUGGGAAUCUAAUACUUGCUCUGAUACCAGAUUUUGAGAAUUCGCAAUCCUCUCUGAUACCGACUACUGUUGAUUCGGUAUUGGUUGAUGGGAUUCCGCAAUGAAAACGUGAAAUCAGAUUUUGAUCAUAAACUUAUCUUUUCAACAAAAGCUGACACAAUCACAAAAGAAAGAAGAAAAAUAUGCUGGUAAAAUAAGAUACAUUAAAUAAGAGAAGAUUACAUCUGACUCCUUUCUGUAAUAGAGUAGCUACAAGCUGACUCAUUUUUUUUAAUCUCUCUCAUCCUUCUCUCGUCUUUUAUAAACCUAAAAGACUUCUCUUAUCGGACGCACCCAUGCACUAGAU